rnacentral:rRNA from 2 species
CAACUUUCAACAACGGAUCUCUUGGUUCUGGCAUCGAUGAAGAACGCAGCGAAAUGCGAUAAGUAGUGUGAAUUGCAGAAUUCAGUGAAUCAUCGAAUCUUUGAACGCACAUUGCGCCCUUUGGUAUUCCAAAGGGCAUGCCUGUUCGAGCGUCAUUUGU